rnacentral:tRNA from 1 species
AAAAAUUUAGUUAAAAAAAAUAACAUUAACAUGUCAAGUUAAAAUUAUUAAUAAAAAUAAUUUUUU